rnacentral:rRNA from 1 species
GCGCGGGGGCAACCCUGGUGGCGAGUGGCGAACGGGUGAGUAAUACAUCGGAACGUGCCCUGUAGUGGGGGAUAACUAGUCGAAAGAUUAGCUAAUACCGCAUACGACCUGAGGGUGAAAGCGGGGGACCGCAAGGCCUCGCGCUACAGGAGCGGCCGAUGUCUGAUUAGCUAGUUGGUGGGGUAAAAGCCUACCAGGGCGACGAUCAGUAGCUGGUCUGAGAGGACGAUCAGCCACACUGGGACUGAGACACGGCCCAGACUCAUACGGGAGGCAGCAGUGGGGAAUUUUGGACAAUGGGGGCAACCCUGAUCCAGCAAUGCCGCGUGUGUGAAGAAGGCCUUCGGGUUGUAAAGCACUUUUGUCCGGAAAGAAAUGGCUCUGGUUAAUACCCGGGGUCGAUGACGGUACCGGAAGAAUAAGCACCGGCUAACUACGUGCCAGCAGCCGCGGUAAUACGUAGGGUGCGAGCGUUAAUCGGAAUUACUGGGCGUAAAGCGUGCGCAGGCGGUUUUGUAAGACAGGCGUGAAAUCCCCGAGCUCAACUUGGGAAUGGCGCUUGUGACUGCAAGGCUAGAGUAUGUCAGAGGGGGGUAGAAUUCCACGUGUAGCAGUGAAAUGCGUAGAGAUGUGGAGGAAUACCGAUGGCGAAGGCAGCCCCCUGGGACGUCACUGACGCUCAUGCACGAAAGCGUGGGGAGCAAACAGGAUUAGAUACCCUGGUAGUCCACGCCCUAAACGAUGUCAACUAGUUGUUGGGGAUUCAUUUCUUCAGUAACGUAGCUAACGCGUGAAGUUGACCGCCUGGGGAGUACGGUCGCAAGAUUAAAACUCAAAGGAAUUGACGGGGACCCGCACAAGCGGUGGAUGAUGUGGAUUAAUUCGAUGCAACGCGAAAAACCUUACCUACCCUUGACAUGCCACUAACGAAGCAGAGAUGCAUUAGGUGCCCGAAAGGGAAAGUGGACACAGGUGCUGCAUGGCUGUCGUCAGCUCGUGUCGUGAGAUGUUGGGUUAAGUCCCGCAACGAGCGCAACCCUUGUCUCUAGUUGCUACGAAAGGGCACUCUAGAGAGACUGCCGGUGACAAACCGGAGGAAGGUGGGGAUGACGUCAAGUCCUCAUGGCCCUUAUGGGUAGGGCUUCACACGUCAUACAAUGGUGCGUACAGAGGGUUGCCAACCCGCGAGGGGGAGCUAAUCCCAGAAAACGCAUCGUAGUCCGGAUCGUAGUCUGCAACUCGACUACGUGAAGCUGGAAUCGCUAGUAAUCGCGGAUCAGCAUGCCGCGGUGAAUACGUUCCCGGGUCUUGUACACACCGCCCGUCACACCAUGGGAGUGGGUUUUGCCAGAAGUAGUUAGCCUAACCGCAAG